CGUAGCGGAAUUAUUCGGACAAUGGGUGAGAGCCUGAUCCAGCCAUCCCGCGUGAAGGACGACGGCCCUAUGGGUUGUAAACUUCUUUUGUACAGGGAUAAACCUUUCCACGUGUGGAAAGCUGAAGGUACUGUACGAAUAAGCACCGGCUAACUCCGUGCCAGCAGCCGCGGUAAUACGGAGGGUGCAAGCGUUAUCCGGAUUUAUUGGGUUUAAAGGGUCCGUAGGCGGAUCCGUAAGUCAGUGGUGAAAUCUCAUAGCUUAACUAUGAAACUGCCAUUGAUACUGCGGGUCUUGAGUAAGGUAGAAGUAGCUGGAAUAAGUAGUGUAGCGGUGAAAUGCAUAGAUAUUACUUAGAACACCAAUUGCGAAGGCAGGUUACUAUGUCUUAACUGACGCUGAUGGACGAAAGCGUGGGGAGCGAACAGGAUUAGAACCCCGGGUAGA
rnacentral:rRNA from 1 species